rnacentral:tRNA from 1 species
GUUUGUGGCUCAGUGGUGGAGCGCUUGCCUAGCAUGCAUGAGGCACUGAGUUCGAUCUUAGCACUACA